ensembl:snRNA U6 U6 spliceosomal RNA
GUGCUCACUUUGGUAGCACAUAUAUUAAAAUUGGAAUGAUACAGAGAAGAUUAGCAUGGCCCCUGUGCAAAGAUGACACACAAAUUCAUGAAGCAUUCUAUAUUUUG